GAUGAACGCUGGCGGCGUGCCUAAUACAUGCAAGUCGAGCGAACAGACGAGGAGCUUGCUCCUCUGACGUUAGCGGCGGACGGGUGAGUAACACGUGGAUAACCUACCUAUAAGACUGGGAUAACUUCGGGAAACCGGAGCUAAUACCGGAUAAUAUAUUGAACCGCAUGGUUCAAUAGUGAAAGACGGUUUUGCUGUCACUUAAAGAUGGAUCCGCGCCGCAUUAGCUAGUUGGUAAGGUAACGGCUUACCAAGGCAACGAUGCGUAGCCGACCUGAGAGGGUGAUCGGCCACACUGGAACUGAGACACGGUCCAGACUCCUACGGGAGGCAGCAGUAGGGAAUCUUCCGCAAUGGGCGAAAGCCUGACGGAGCAACGCCGCGUGAGUGAUGAAGGUCUUCGGAUCGUAAAACUCUGUUAUUAGGGAAGAACAAAUGUGUAAGUAACUAUGCACGUCUUGACGGUACCUAAUCAGAAAGCCGCGGCUAACUACGUG
rnacentral:rRNA from 1 species